AUUGAACGCUGGCGGCAUGCCUUACACAUGCAAGUCGAACGGCAGCACGGGAAGCGCUUGCUCUGCCGGUGGCGGACGGGCGGGUGGUGCAUGGAAACGUCGGCAUCUGUUGGGGCUAGGGGGGCGACGGAGGGAUUCUUACCGCAUACCAGCAGAGGAUGUACGCGGGGGAGCAGGGGACCUCGGGACCUUGCGCGAGCCGAUGUCGGAUUGGCUAGUUGGUGGGGUAACGGCCUACCAAGGCGACGAUCCGUAGCUGGUCUGAGAGGACGAGCAGCCACACUGGGACUGAGACACGGUCCAGACUCCUACGGGAGGCAGCAGUGGGGAAUUUUGGACAAUGGGCGCAAGCCUGAUCCAGCCAUGCCGCGUGGGUGAAGAAGGCCUUCGGGUUGUAAACCGCUUUUGUUCGGGAAGAAAACCUCUGGGCUAAUACCCCGGGGUGAUGACGGUACCGGAAGAAUAAGCACCGGCUAACUUCGUG
rnacentral:rRNA from 1 species